AGAAGCGCAUACGGUGGAUGCCUUGGCAGUCAGAGGCGAUGAAAGACGUGGUAGCCUGCGAAAAGCUUCGGGGAGUCGGCAAACAGACUGUGAUCCGGAGAUGUCUGAAUGGGGGAACCCAGCCAUCAUAAGAUGGUUAUCUUGUACUGAAUACAUAGGUGCAAGAGGCGAACCAGGGGAACUGAAACAUCUAAGUACCCUGAGGAAAAGAAAUCAACCGAGAUUCCCUUAGUAGUGGCGAGCGAACGGGGACCAGCCCUUAAGUUGUAUUGAGAUUAGCGGAACGUUCUGGAAAGGACGGCCAUAGUGGGUGAUAGCCCUGUACGCGAAAAUCCCUUUGCAAUGAAAUCGAGUAGGACGGGGCACGAGAAACCUUGUCUGAAUAUGGGGGGACCAUCCUCCAAGGCUAAAUACUACUGACUGACCGAUAGUGAACCAGUACCGUGAGGGAAAGGCGAAAAGAACCGCGGAGAGCGGAGUGAAAUAGAUCCUGAAACCGUAUGCGUACAAGCAGUGGGAGCCCACUUGUUGGGUGACUGCGUACCUUUUGUAUAAUGGGUCAGCGACUUAUUUUCAGUGGCGAGCUUAACCGAAUAGGGGAGGCGUAGCGAAAGCGAGUCUUAAUAGGGCGUCUAGUCGCUGGGAAUAGACCCGAAACCGGGCGAUCUAUCCAUGGGCAGGUUGAAGGUUGGGUAACACUAACUGGAGGACCGAACCGACUACCGUUGAAAAGUUAGCGGAUGACCUGUGGAUCGGAGUGAAAGGCUAAUCAAGCUCGGAGAUAGCUGGUUCUCCUCGAAAGCUAUUUAGGUAGCGCCUCAUGUAUCACUGUAGGGGGUAGAGCACUGUUUCGGCUAGGGGGUCAUCCCGACUUACCAAACCGAUGCAAACUCCGAAUACCUACAAGUGCCGAGCAUGGGAGACACACGGCGGGUGCUAACGUCCGUCGUGAAAAGGGAAACAACCCAGACCGUCAGCUAAGGUCCCAAAGUCAUGGUUAAGUGGGAAACGAUGUGGGAAGGCUUAGACAGCUAGGAGGUUGGCUUAGAAGCAGCCACCCUUUAAAGAAAGCGUAAUAGCUCACUAGUCGAGUCGGCCUGCGCGGAAGAUGUAACGGGGCUCAAACCAUGCACCGAAGCUACGGGUAUCAUCUUUUGAUGAUGCGGUAGAGGAGCGUUCUGUAAGCCUGUGAAGGUGAGUUGAGAAGCUUGCUGGAGGUAUCAGAAGUGCGAAUGCUGACAUGAGUAACGACAAUGGGUGUGAAAAACACCCACGCCGAAAGACCAAGGUUUCCUGCGCAACGUUAAUCGACGCAGGGUUAGUCGGUCCCUAAGGCGAGGCUGAAAAGCGUAGUCGAUGGAAAACAGGUUAAUAUUCCUGUACUUCUGGUUAUUGCGAUGGAGGGACGGAGAAGGCUAGGCCAGCCUGGCGUUGGUUGUCCAGGUUUAAGGUGGUAGGCUGAGAUCUUAGGUAAAUCCGGGAUUUCAAGGCCGAGAGCUGAUGACGAGUGUUCUUUAGAACACGAAGUGGUUGAUGCCAUGCUUCCAAGAAAAGCUUCUAAGCUUCAGGUAACCAGGAACCGUACCCCAAACCGACACAGGUGGUUGGGUAGAGAAUACCAAGGCGCUUGAGAGAACUCGGGUGAAGGAACUAGGCAAAAUGGCACCGUAACUUCGGGAGAAGGUGCGCCGGUGAGGGUGAAGCAUUUACUGCGUAAGCCCACGCCGGUCGAAGAUACCAGGCCGCUGCGACUGUUUAUUAAAAACACAGCACUCUGCAAACACGAAAGUGGACGUAUAGGGUGUGACGCCUGCCCGGUGCCGGAAGGUUAAUUGAUGGGGUUAGCGCAAGCGAAGCUCUUGAUCGAAGCCCCGGUAAACGGCGGCCGUAACUAUAACGGUCCUAAGGUAGCGAAAUUCCUUGUCGGGUAAGUUCCGACCUGCACGAAUGGCGUAACGAUGGCGGCGCUGUCUCCACCCGAGACUCAGUGAAAUUGAAAUCGCUGUGAAGAUGCAGUGUAUCCGCGGCUAGACGGAAAGACCCCGUGAACCUUUACUAUAGCUUUGCACUGGACUUUGAAUUUGCUUGUGUAGGAUAGGUGGGAGGCUUUGAAGCGUGGACGCCAGUCUGCGUGGAGCCAACCUUGAAAUACCACCCUGGCAACUUUGAGGUUCUAACUCAGGUCCGUUAUCCGGAUCGAGGACAGUGUAUGGUGGGUAGUUUGACUGGGGCGGUCUCCUCCUAAAGAGUAACGGAGGAGUACGAAGGUGCGCUCAGACCGGUCGGAAAUCGGUCGUAGAGUAUAAAGGCAAAAGCGCGCUUGACUGCGAGACAGACACGUCGAGCAGGUACGAAAGUAGGUCUUAGUGAUCCGGUGGUUCUGUAUGGAAGGGCCAUCGCUCAACGGAUAAAAGGUACUCCGGGGAUAACAGGCUGAUACCGCCCAAGAGUUCAUAUCGACGGCGGUGUUUGGCACCUCGAUGUCGGCUCAUCACAUCCUGGGGCUGAAGCCGGUCCCAAGGGUAUGGCUGUUCGCCAUUUAAAGUGGUACGCGAGCUGGGUUUAGAACGUCGUGAGACAGUUCGGUCCCUAUCUGCCGUGGACGUUUGAGAUUUGAGAGGGGCUGCUCCUAGUACGAGAGGACCGGAGUGGACGAACCUCUGGUGUUCCGGUUGUCACGCCAGUGGCAUUGCCGGGUAGCUAUGUUCGGAAAAGAUAACCGCUGAAAGCAUCUAAGCGGGAAACUUGCCUCAAGAUGAGAUCUCACUGGAACCUUGAGUUCCCUAAAGGGCCGUCGAAGACUACGACGUUGAUAGGUUGGGUGUGUAAGCGCUGUGAGGCGUUGAGCUAACCAAUACUAAUUGCCCGUGAGGCUUGACC
rnacentral:rRNA from 1 species